rnacentral:misc_RNA from 1 species
GAGGAAGGAGAAGUCGUAACAAGGUUUCCGUAGGUGAACCUGCGGAAGGAUCAUUGUCGAUACCUGCCCAGCAGAACGACCCGUGAACUCGUAACAGCCUUCUGGGUUGGGGUGUCAUGCCCCCUCCCAAAAACGGUYGGGAGGGCACGUUGAAAGCUGCCCACCACUCCUCGCGUGCGGUGGGUCAGUCUUCUCGUUCCCUUCCCAGCCGAACAAUGAACCCCGGCGCGGUCUGCGCCAAGGAACUUAAUCAAGGAGUAACCACGGCCGCCCCGGAAACGGUGUGCGUGCCGCUGGUGACAUCUUACCAUGAUACAUAACGACUCUCGGCAACGGAUAUCUCGGCUCUCGCAUCGAUGAAGAACGUAGCGAAAUGCGAUACUUGGUGUGAAUUGCAGAAUCCCGCGAAUCAUCGAGUCUUUGAACGCAAGUUGCGCCCGAAGCCAUUCGGCCGAGGGCACGUCUGCCUGGGUGUCACGCAUCGUUGCCCCCCACCCCAACACCUCAUAUGAUGUGCGUGUGCGGGGCAGAAAUUGGCCUCCCGUGCGCGUUGCUCGCGGUUAGCCUAAAAGCGAGUCCCGGGCGACGAGCGCCACGACAAUCGGUGGUUGACGAAACCCUCGUGCCCCGUCGUGUGUUGCUCGACGCCGUGAAGGCUCUCCUCGACCCUGUUGCGUCGUUCUUGCGACUCUACCAUCGCGACCCCAGGUCAGGCGGGAUUACCCGCUGAAUUUAAGCAUAUCAUAAA